UACGUAGGGACCAAGCGUUGUUCGGGUUUACUGGGCGUAAAGGGCGCGUAGGCGGCGCGGUAAGUCACUUGUGAAAUCUCUGAGCUUAACUCAGAACGGCCAAGUGAUACUGCAGUGCUAGAGUGUGGAAGGGGCAAUCGGAAUUCUUGGUGUAGCGGUGAAAUGCGUAGAUAUCAAGAGGAACACCUGAGGUGAAGACGGGUUGCUGGGCCAACACUGACGCUGAGGCGCGAAAGCCAGGGGAGCAAACGGG
rnacentral:rRNA from 1 species